AGAGUUUGAUCCUGGCUCAGAAUGAACGCUAUCUAUUUGCCUAACACAUGCUAGUUGAACGCGUUAAAAAACGAGUAGCGAACGGGUGAGUAAUACAUGGGAAUCUACCUUAUAGUUUGGUUAAAUACCUUAUAAAAAAAGAACUUUCGCUAUAAGAUGAGCCUUUGUAGGAUUAGGUAGUUGGUAAGGUAAUGGCUUACCAAGCCGAUGAUCCUUAACUGGCCUGAGAGGGUGUACAGUCACAUUAGAACUGAGAAAGGUCUAAACAUUUACGAAUGGCAGCAGUGGGGAAUCUUGAACACUAGGCGAAAGCUUGAUUCAGCGAUAUAGAGUGAAUGAUUGAAAGCUAUUUGGUUGUAAAGUUCUUUCGUUAAAUAGGAUUUGACCAUUUAAAGAAGAAGCCCUGACUAAUUUCGUGCCAGCAGUCGCGGUGAUACGAAAAGGGUUAGUGUUAUUCAGAAUGAUUGGGUGUAAAGGGUGCGUAGGCUGUAAUCAUAGUUAAUUCUUAAAUUUUAGUAGCAAUUACUAAGUCAAGUUUUAAUAACAAGUUACUUGAGUAAAACACGGGUUUGUAGAAUUGCAAGUGGAGGAAUAAAAUCCAAAGAUUUUUGCAGGAAUAUCGAAAGCGAAAGCAACAAACUAGUUUUAUACUGACGCUGAUUCACGAAAGUUUAGGUAGCGACCAGGAUUAGAGACCCUGUUAGUCUAAACUGUAAACGAUGAGUACUCAUUUUUGGGGUUAAAAUCUCAGAAGUUUAGCUAACGCGUUAAGUGCUCCACCUGAGAAGUACAGUGGCAACAUUGAAACUCAAAAGAAUUGACGGGGAUUUAUACGAUUAUUGGAACAUGCGAUUUAAUGCGUCAAUACUCGUCAAACCUUACCAACUUUUGAAUCUUUUAUAUUCUAAUGAUGCAAAUCAUUAUGUUAAAAAUGACAGGUGCUGCAUGGCUGUUGUCAGCUCGUGUUUUGAGAUGUUAGGUUAAGUCCAGUAACGAGCGAAACCCUUGUUCUUUAUUACAAAACAUAGUUUGUUCAGUUAUAUUAAUUAAACUAUAUGUUCGUACUUAAAGAGUAUCGCCUAUGAUAUAUAGGAUGAAAGAAAGGAUGACGUCAAGUCUUCAUGGUCCUUAUAAGUUGGGCUACACAUGUAUUACAAGGGUAACUACAAUAAGAUGCAAUAAUGAAAAUUGAAGCAAAUCUAAAAAAGCUACCUCAGUUCGGAUUGUUCUCUGUAACUCGAGAACAUGAAGUUGGAAUGAAUAGUAAUCGUUUAUCAGCAAGGAACGGUGAAUCUGUACCUAAAUCUUGUACAUACCGCCCGUCACAUCAAGAGAGUUUGCUUAAUUUAAAGACAUUAUUUGUUUUUAAGUUUUAAUUAUUUUUAGACAUUUCAUUGAUGUUUAUAUUAUAAAAGUUGAAAAUAAAUAGUGUUUAGGAUUAGGAAGAUGAUUUUGAUGAAGUCGUAACAAGGUAACGGUUGGGGAACCAGUCGUUG
rnacentral:rRNA from 1 species